GGCACUGGGGGGCUACUGGGAGGGCACUGGGCGGUACUGGUGGGCGCUGGGGGGAUACUGGGAGGGUGCUGGGGGCUACUGGGAGGCACUGGGAGGGGGCUGGGGGACACUGGAGGGCACUGGGAGGCACUGGGGGGAUACUGGGAGGGGGCUGGGUGGUAAAGGGAGGCACUGGGGGCUACUGGGAGGGCACUGGGAGGCUACUGGGAGGGCACUGGGGGCUAAUGGGAGGGGGCUGGGCGAUACUGGGAGGGCACUGGGGGGUACUGGUCUGUACUGGUGGGCACUGGGGCAUACUGGGGCACAUGGUGCUGCAGGUUAGGGUGUACUGGGAUGGACUGGGGGUCAACUGGUGUGUACUGGGGCCUGCUGGCGUGCUUACUGGUACAUACUGGUGGGUACUGGUGCGCGUGCUGGUUCACAGCAGGGAGGUGGAGGUGCCAGCCUGUGUAGACCUACAGGGCUCUAUACUGGUUUAUACUGGUCCGUACUGGUCUGUAUUGGCCUAUACUGUUUUAUAAUGGUGUAUACUGGUUCUUACUGGUCUAUACUGGUCCAUACUGGGCAGAGAAAUGAGUGCAAACACACUGCAGGGACGCAUCUGUGCCAGCCUGUGUAGACCUACAGGGUUUUGUACUGGUUUAUACUGGUCCGUACUGGUCUGUAUUGGCCUAUACUGGUUUAUAGUGGUGUAUACUGGUUCUUACUGGUCUAUACUGGUGUAUACUGGGCAGAGAAUCGAGCACAGAGUGGCUACACACUGCAGGGACGCAUCUGUGCCGGCCUGUAUAGACCUAUAGGGGUCCAAAGGGGUCCGUACUGGUCCAUACUGGUUUAUACUGGUUUGUACUGGUUUAUACUGGUCCUUACUGGUCUAUACUGGUCCAUACUGGGCAGAGAAGCGAGCACACCAUGGCCGCAUGCUGCAGGGACGCAUCUGUGCUGGCCUGUAUAGACCUAUAGGGGUCCAAAGGGGUCCAUACUGGUGCAUACUGGUUCAUACUGGUUUAUACUGGUUCUUACUGGUCUAUACUGGUCCAUACUGGGCAGAGAAUCGAGCACAGAGUGGCUACACACUGCAGGGACGCAUCUGUGCCGAUCUGUAUAGACCUAUAGGGGUCCAAAGGGGUCCAUACUGGUUUAUACUGGUUUGUACUGGUUUGUACUGGUUUAUACUGGUUUGUACUGGUUUAUACUGGUCCAUACUGGGCAGAGAAGCGAGCACAGUGUGGCCACACACUGCAGGGACGCAUCUGUGCCGAUCUGUAUAGACCUAUAGGGGUCCAAAGGGGUCCAUACUGGUGCAUACUGGUUUGUAUUGGUUUAUACUGGUUUGUACUGGUUUAUACUGGUCCUUAGUGGUCUAUACUGGUCCAUACUGGGCAGAGAAGCGAGCACAGAGUGGCUACACACUGCAGGGACGCAUCUGUGCCGAUCUGUAUAGACCUGUAGGGGUCCAAAGGGGUCCGUACUGGUCCAUACUGGUUUAUACUGGUUUGUACUGGUUUAUACUGGUUUGUACUGGUUUAUACUGGGCAGAGGCACGCGAGUGCGUCAACUGCGGGGCGACGGCGACGCCGCUGUGGCGGCGGGACGGGACCGGGCACUACCUGUGUAACGCCUGCGGGCUCUACCACCGCCUCAACGGCCACAACCGGCCCCUAAUCCGCCCCAAAAAGCGCCUGGUGAGCCCCAAAUCCCCCCAAAUCCGCCCCAAAAAGCGCCUGGUGAGCCCCAAAUCCCCCCUAAUCC
rnacentral:lncRNA from 1 species